rnacentral:rRNA from 1 species
UACGAAGGGGGCGAGCGUUGUUCGGAUUUACUGGGCGUAAAGCGCGUGUAGGCGGCUUGGCAAGUCGGGUGUGAAAGCCCUGGGCUCAACCUAGGAAGUGCACUCGAAACUGCUUCGCUUGAGUGUCGGAGAGGAAAGCGGAAUUCUCGGUGUAGAGGUGAAAUUCGUAGAUAUCGAGAGGAACACCGGUGGCGAAGGCGGCUUUCUGGACGAUAACUGACGCUGAGACGCGAAAGCGUGGGGAGCAAACAGG